UCAUGCAAGUCUUUUCCAUUC
rnacentral:piRNA from 1 species